rnacentral:tRNA from 1 species
GCCUGGGUGGCUCAGUCGGUUAAGCGGCUGACUUCGGCUCAGGUCAUGAUCUUACGGUCCGUGAGUUCGAGCCUCGCGUCGGGCU